rnacentral:lncRNA from 1 species
GAGGGGAGAGGAGAGGAGAGGUGAGGUUAAUUUUCUCGUCACCAAUACCUGACUGACAGGAGCUUAGGGGAGGGAGGUUUUGCUUGGCCCCACUGUUGAGAGGAUUCAGUCCAUCCCGGUGAGGGAGGCCUUGGGGUGGGAACAUCCUGAGGCUGGAGCAGUAGUGUGAGGUGCCUGGUGUCUGCAGUCAGGAAGCCAGAGCCAGGCCUCAAACCCCAGCGGCCCUGGAUCUGCCAUCCAGACCUCAUGUCCAAAAGGUUCCACACCCAGCCAGAACAGCACUACUGCCUGUUUAAAUAAAUGAGUCUGGGUGAGGGGCUCUGUUCCCUUUCAAAACCAUAGCACCAAAGUGUUUUAACAAACAAACAAUCCAACAACCGUGUAAAUGUAUCUGUGUACAAACAUGAGUGUUUGUACUCAGCAUUGAUUCCUGAGGAGUUAGACCCAUGGUUCAACCUUCCCAAUGCCGUGACCCGUUUGAUACAGGUCCUCAUGUUGUGGUGACCCCCCAACCCAACCAUAAAAUUAUUUCAUUUGUACUUCAUAACUGUGAUUUGCGACUGUUACAAAUUGUAGUGUAAAUAUUUUCAGAGAUGGAGGUUUACCAAAGGGGACGUGCCCACAGGUUGGGGACAGCAGGAUUAGAGGGAGGAGCCAUGGGAGCUCUCCUUGCCUUUGUUCAGGCUCCAGAAAGAUACUAUCAAGGAUUGAGUCUGUCCUGUUUGUGCAUGGCGUAAAUACAGCUGCUUCCGGCAGCUCUUACCUCCUUAUCUGAUUUUUCUUUUAAAAUUAACCAAGCACUUGAAGUCCUUCAGUCUCCCUUGGCUUUCUUCAUUUCGUGACUCCUAUUCCUGCAUGAGCCUGUGGUGGUGACCUCAAGACUGCUAUUGAGGUGACUGACUCCUGGCGUGGUAGAACGGCCCUGGUCCAUCCUUACCAGGCAUCAGCCUGACCCUGUGGCAGCAGCACAGAGUCCCCUUUCACUGACCAACGCCCAGGCUUUCUUCCAGCACAGCCUGCGUUGGGACGGUGCAGGAUGCCUAGGUUAAAGGAGGGCUGACUGUUUAGGAGUUAGCCUUGGCUUGAAAAGGUAGGCAUGAAAGACCUCCAGGAACAUCUACUGCCAGGUCCUUUUUCUCAGUUACAGGAAUUCUGAACACACAAGCUCCUUCUAACUUGAACAUGACAAAUCAUUUGGAACCAAGGGAUCCUGUUCCUCUUAGAUUUGUGUUUUUGUGUUUUUGUUUUUUUGUUUUUUUUACCCAUUGUCUUCCUUCUGGUUAGAGUCUGGUCGUGUCAUUUGUAGCAAACUGUUCUCACAUAGUUUUGUCCGUGUGUGACACUCAGCACCCCUCAGAUAUGUCCUGCCAUCAGAUCCUCUCAAUAACUUGGAAGCCAAACUCAUUUUUUUCCUGUCAUUUUUAAGGAUUGUGAAACUGUGCUUGACACUAAGCCAGUCUAACAGAGUCGAGAGUGGGUCCCCUUCUUGUCCCUGGAGAGAAGUGGACAAGGAGUGCUCUCAGGAUACAGGGAAGCGUGCAGAAGAGCGAGGCUGUCCCACGGAAGGGUUGUUAGCAGGGUUCCCCACUAGGUAGCCUUCAGUUCCUGCUUGCCAGUUUCUAAACUCUCUGGUAGAAGCCACCAUGCUUCUCUGAGACACAUUUCCGGAGUGGCUUCACUUGUGUUUGAAGUUGAGGGAGGGUAGGAAAUGGCUAGUGUGGAUAAAAAACUUCUCAUGGGACUUUGAAGUUCUUCUCCUAGGAGGAAGCCGCCUCCGGGCUCCACAAACAGUCACCUCUGUUGGAAGGUUCAAGUAGCUGGUUCACAGUGAAUGCCGGCAUCGCCCAGGAGCCCAGCUCAGGCGGCUGCUUACAGCUGGCAUGCAAAUCCAGACAGAGCCUCUCUCUCAGAUAGGAAAGAAGCAGAUGAAAGGGGAACAUUCAAAGGAAAGAGUGGAGAGGGUUUGUUUGUUCACCUCUUGGCGUUGAGUCAGCUUUUAAGUCUGAUUUAAAUAAUUGACGCAAAGAUACAUCACAGACAAUCCUGUGAUGUUUGGAGGAGGGCUGCUAGCGGGGAUGAUGCACCUCCUAUUCACUUAGCAACCUGUCAAUAUUUACCUAGCAAUUCCAGAAGUGUUUGCUUUUAGUGAAUCAAGCAGACCGAAGCUCGAUGAGGAGCAAUGAGAAGACUCUGAAGGGUGAUAUAGAUCUCCAUUUUCUUCAGAAUAAAAAAAAAUCAGAAAACAAAGCACACAAAAAACCACCCGUAAUUCUUCUUCUAAUCUAAUUGCUGUUUGAGUGGGCAUCUCUGGGGUCUUCUGUAUAUAUUUGCCUUCAACUAAAUCAGGAUGGUAUAUCUCUUUGUUCUCUCUUUCUCUCUCUCUCUCUUUGUGUGUGUGUCUGUGUGUGUGUAUUGCAGGGAAUUGACCCAAAGGCCUUUUAUGUGCUAGGCAAGUCCUCUGCCGCUGAGCUGAGUACAUCCUGGCCCCAAAUGGUAACUUGCUUUAACCCAGCUCUGCCAUGCUGUUACCUGUGCCCUGGCUUGUGGGUUUUUCUUGUCUGUCAUUGAGUUAAAUCCUUGGUUUAUGAGCUGGGUCUGAUACUAGCAGUUCAGCCUUGAACCUGCCGUGCACCCCAAGCUGUCCACUUGUUCACUAUCUGGCGUCAUCCUUCCAAGUGCUCAGAUUACACGGAUGUAGAGAAAUGUAAACUAGGGUUCAAGCCUGGGUCCAGGGAACCCAGACAGCAUGGCUCCUCUGGGUGUACUUCCUUCUAUUCCAGUGGGCCUGGCAGACCUCCUUUCUCGGUCUUUAGCAUGAACCUCCUAUGGUCCUGGCAUCCCUGCUCACAGUUCCCAGGGGGAUGGAAAUAGAAGUUAUACACUGAGAGGCAGGCAGAUUUCUGAGUUCGAGGCCAGCCUGGUCUACAGAGUGAGUUCCAGGACAGCCAGGGCUAUACAGAGAAACCCUGUUUGGAAAAACAAACAAAUGAAAGAAGUUAUACACUGGAGAUGUGAGGAGGGCUCAUUGUGUCUAAGGGGAAUAGGUAAGCUGGGGACGGCUUCUUAGACUCUGAUGCAGUUUAAGAUUUUGUUAUAAAAGCUCCUUAGUGGGCGGGGGAGAAUAUAGCACAAGGAAAGAAGCUAAGCAGGGAGAUAGGGAGACUUCACCUGUCUGUCUGUCCUCUCUGACCCCUGCUGUAGAACAAGCAGGCACUGUCUCUCUUUUUACUACUUUAGGGGUAAUCAUUUGCAUAUAAUAAAAUCCACAGACCUUAAGCCUACAGCUCAGCUGUCUAACUACCACUCCCUUCAGCUUCCCCGGGAGUGUCCCACACUGCCUCUCUGCCUCCGACCCACCCAGUUGUCAUAAUUGUACUUGGGUUGGCUUCCUCAAGUCGACACGUACUCGUCCAUCCUCGUCUCUCACAACACUCUCUCAUAGUCCAGGAAGGGCCUGCCCCCAGGACUGUUGUCCUCUGGCUACUCCAGAUCUCUCUUGUUUUCCACCAAAGUACCCUUUCUUGGGGUGUGUGUGUGUGUGUGUGUGUGUGUGCGUGCGAGUGCAAAUACUCCUGCUUUUAUGUGCAUGUGGAGGCCAAAUGUCAAUAUCCAGUGUCUCCCUUGGCCACUCCCCACCUUUAUGUUUUGAGACAGGGUGUCUGCUGAACCUGGAGUUUUAUCAGUUCAGCUGAGUUGCUUGGCUAGUGAUCGCUAGAAUCCACUUGUCCUUGUCCUUGUCCUUGUCCUUGUCCUUGUCCCUUGCCACACCCCCACCCCCAUGAGUUAUGGCCGCCCCAUGGCUUGGCUUUUAUGUGGAUGUUGGGGAUCCAAACUCAAGUCCUUAGGCUUGCUUGGCAGGCCCUUUCUCUGCUGAGCCACCUCUCUUAUAUAGCUAAAUCACU